rnacentral:rRNA from 1 species
CCUACGGGGGGCAGCAGUAGGGAAUCUUUCACAAUGGGCGAAAGCCUGAUGGAGCAACGCCGCGUGCAGGAUGAAGGCCUUCGGGUUGUAAACUGCUUUUAUAAGCGAGAAAUAUGAUGGUAACUUAUGAAUAAGGAUCGGCUAACUACGUGCCAGCAGCCGCGGUCAUACGUAGGAUCCGAGCAUUAUCCGGAGUGACUGGGUGUAAAGAGUUGCGUAGGUGGCAUAAUAAGUAGCUAGUGAAAUCUGGUGGCUCAACCAUUCAGACUAUUAGCUAAACUGUUAAGCUCGAGACCGUUAGGGGUAACUGGAAUUGCUAGUGUAGGAGUGAAAUCCGUAGAUAUUAGAAGGAACACCAAUAGCGUAGGCAGGUUGCUGGGACGGUUCUGAAACUAAGGCACGAAAGCGUAGGGAGCAAACGGGAUUAGAUACCCUAGUAGUC